UUGCUAUGAUGAUGUCAUAAAUAAGUAGAAAGCAUCCAUUGAAUGCUUGAUGAAACUUCGACAUUCAAGUCGAUCCUGAGCGGUUACCUGAGCAA